UACGUAGGGGCCUAGCGUUGUCCGGAUUUAUUGGGCGUAAAGAGCUCGUAGGCGGUUUGGUGAGUCGGGUGUGAAAUCUCCACGCUCAACGUGGAGGAGCCACCCGAUACUGCCAUGACUAGAGUCCGGUAGGGGAGUGUGGAAUUCCCGGUGUAGCGGUGAAAUGCGCAGAUAUCGGGAGGAACACCGGUGGCGAAGGCGGCCUUCUGGACAGUGACUGACGCUGAGACGCGAAAGCGUGGGGAGCAAACAGG
rnacentral:rRNA from 1 species